rnacentral:rRNA from 1 species
AACGAACGCUGGCGGCAGGCUUAACACAUGCAAGUCGAGCGCCCCGCAAGGGGAGCGGCAGACGGGUGAGUAACGCGUGGGAACGUACCCUUUGCUACGGAAUAGCUCCGGGAAACUGGAAUUAAUACCGUAUGUGCCCUACGGGGGAAAGAUUUAUCGGCAAAGGAUCGGCCCGCGUUGAAUUAGCUAGUUGGUGGGGUAAUGGCCUACCAAGGCGGCGAUCCAUAGCUGGUCUGAGAGGAUGAUCAGCCACAUUGGGACGGAGAAACGGCCCAAACUCCUACGGGAGGCAGCAGUGAGGAAUCUUGCGCAAUGGGCGAAAGCCUGACGCAGCCAUGCCGCGUGAAUGAUGAAGGUCUUAGGAUUGUAAAAUUCUUUUACCAGGGACGAUAAUGACGGUACCUGGAGAAAAAGCCCCGGCUAACUUCGUGCCAGCAGCCGCCGUAAGAC